UACGGGGGGGGCAAGCGUUGUUCGGAAUUACUGGGCGUAAAUGGCUCGUAGGUGGCCAACUAAGUCAGACGUGAAAUCCCUCGGCUUAACCGGGAACUGCGUCUGAUACUGGAUGGCUUGAGUUCAGGAGAGGGAUGCGGAAUUCCAGGUGUAGCGGUGAAAUGCGUAGAUAUCUGGAGGAACACCGGUGGCGAAGGCGGCAUCCUGGACCGACACUGACACUGAGGAGCGAAAGCCAGGGGAGCAAACGGG
rnacentral:rRNA from 1 species